rnacentral:rRNA from 1 species
AUGUGCACUCCUCGCCUCCACAUCUCCACCACCGUCCGACGACCUGGUCACACUACCCCGCUCGCCUCCUCACUAUUCGACGACCUCUGUACUGUCGUCCAGUCCCGGCGGCCCCUGACCGAUGAGCUCACCAGUGCCUCCUAUCCUCCCUCCGAGGCGACCUGGCCAGGGACGAGAUCUCGUUGGGUCCUCUCCUCCCACAGCUUCCGUCCGCCUCUGGCGUGCUACACUAAUUUUUCAGUUCCAGCGACGUUGUGGAUUGGGUGCUCACCCGAUGCGAUUCAGUUUUUUCUGGUGUGUUUAGUUUUACAGUGUGGUGCAGCUCACUCUUUUUGUUUUUGCAGCUCACUAUUUUCUUGUUUUGCAGCUCACUCUUUUUUCUUCUGGAAAUCAUUUGCAGUGCACUCAGUAAGAAAAAGAAGAGAACAUCGAUGUUCAUUUGAAGUUUGUUUUGUUGUUUAUGGGAAACGCAGAGAGAAAAGGGUAGUAAGAAUGGAUGGUCACUUUGUAUAA